AAUCCAGCGAUCCGAGUUCAAAUCUCGGUGGAACCUACGGUGUUUUUUGUUUUUUUUCCCCCAGAUUCUUUUGAAUGCUGUAACAAUGGGCACGACGCUCUUUUCUCCACUCCAUUGUGAGCUUCUAAAUGAAUACACGCGGCACAAGUCACGCCUCAUGACUUCUUUUGGUUGCAUCUUUUACCCAUCCAAGGCAUGGGCUCCUUCCUCCUGCCGUCAUGGGCCAGUGGCAGCACCCCAGGGGCUUGCUUCCACAGGGAGCAGGCCUCAGAGUGGUCUGCAGCCCCACUAAAAUUGGGGUGGGUUAGCAAAAUCCUCCAGGUCUCACAGCUCUGUCCACACCCAGGGCAAGAGCAGCGUUCAAAGCCAACAGCACUCAAUACGAGGUGUCACUUGUAUAGGAGGUAUCAGCAAGCUCAUUGGGUUCAUGAGGCACGAAACAUGGCCUCGGGGACCAUUGAGAGGUGGCAGCAGGUGAAGCACUGGUUUGAGACAUCUGAAGAGAGCCGAGCAAUGACAAGACAACAUAAGAAGCAGAAGAGAGCUGUUGUUGAAGAUGAAGAUAUUGAGGGACUUUAUGAAACACACAGAUUUGCAGGCAAAAGAUGUGUUUGAUGAAUCUUUUCUCUGAAGCAUCUGGGAAAACACCACAAGAGCUCCAGGCUGCAGACCAGGUGCUAAGAAAGUGUUCAUCUCCUCUAAAUGUUCGUGUUGAAGGUGGCAGAACUGUUUUGGAAAAUGGAUACAAACAUAGAAACUCAAGAGAGUUCUGCCUGCAUGAGGAGUCUGCUGAGGUUAGGAGCUCCUUUAGGCAAGCUCGACCAAACCCUCAGCGAGCUCAGAAAAGGGCAGAAACUUGCUGUGACCUACAUCCAUGGUGACUCACUGGUACAAGAUUUUGAACGUAUUGAAAGUACUGAAAGGAUUGAAAACAUUUUGAAAGAAAGAAUCAUUCUGAAGUGCUAUAGAGUUUCAGAAAAGCAGUAGAGCUGCGUUAUGAGAACAUCAGCUACAAUUUGGGUCAGAUUUUCAGUGCAGAUGUGUUAGAUGCAUUUUCUUGGAAACCCUCCAUGACAGUUAGUGAGAAGAGUGACCCAAUGUUUUUGCGCCGCACAAAACAACUGUUCUAUUUGCUGAUGUCAUUUGCUCAUAUUUCUAAAGCAGUGUCCUGUUGAAGCUUGUUCAGGAGCAGAGUUUUUCUCAUGGAACGGUUUCAGACAGGGAGUGUAAAAAAUCUCCUCGGUGCAUCUUGACAGAUCUCAAUCAGACUUGUCGGUUUUCUGAAUUUUAAUAAUCUAGUUUUAUUUCCAGAUAAUGAUUAUUUAUGCAAAUGAGAUGCCUUAUAAAUAAAUAUGGAAAUGAUUCCACAACAUUAAUUACAGGCCUUAUAGUUUAAAUACUUAAAAAAUUAAAGGCAAAUGGUGACGUGGAUUGUUUCUGAGUUUAUAACUUAGUUAUUUUGGUGGUUUGCUUUAUUUCAA